GGGGACGAUGCUCAGUAGUUCACUGAGCAUCGUCCCAAAGUUUGCGCAUGCGCGCAUCGGUUGUGAGCUAUAACCAAGAAGUUCUAGUCUUCUUGGUGGCUAUAAUCUUAACGUAACAUUGUCACUUGCAAAUAAAACAGAAUUCGGAAAUCCAAUCAAGGAGUAAACAGCAGAAGAAAAAAAAGAAUAAUAUUAUUAACGUUUGAAGGAGUUUUAAAGGCAUAUUUUCGUUGUCGUUGGAAUAACAUAUAUUGAAAUAUGUAUGAUUCGAAGGAAAGCGGUUUGUUUUUGCGUAUAAAGGAAAACUCCAAGAAUAUUGAACUGCCAGGUACAGAUUGGACUAUGAUCAUACAAAAUCAUUGCAUUGCAUUCAUUCGAUCAGAAGAUGACCUCACAACCUUCUUGAUAGUUGUUCUCGACGUUAAUAUGAAUGUAAAAGUUUAUCAUCGCAACGAGGAAUUAACCUGGAUGCAGUGGGAUCAGCCAACUUCUGAAACCUAUGUAUCAAGAAUGCUUGAAAUUUUAAACAAAAGCAUAAUUUCUUUUUCGAAGUAUAAAAUUUAAAAAACUAUUCUAAAAAUUAAUUGUUUUAUAAGAUUCGUUUGCUGAAAUAAAUGUAACUGUAAUAAGCCCUCAA